rnacentral:misc_RNA from 1 species
GAACUUCAGAUUCAUGUGUUCUUAGAAUGAUUAACAAGAGUUAUGCACACAAUGGAAACACCUGCACUUAUUGUAAUACUGGUCAGAAAGUUGAGGCUGAGUCUUUGGCAUUUUUCCCAUAUAUCAUGUGAGAUAAAUGCAAUAAGAUUUCGGUUUCCUCUUUUCAAAUAAAUUAAUCUGAACAAUUUU